ACUGUGAUGAUCAUCGUUCUUACUGCACAACCAAGGAAAGUGAAGAAAGGACACCAGUUCUUCACCAUCCCUGCAGCAACCUCUCUCAUCUCAGCCUCCUGCCAAGGUUUCAGAUCUCAGGGAGACACAGGCUCAUUGGCACGCACCGACGAUCACUGAGCCAACUUUGGAAGUCGUGGAUUUCUGAGCCGGCCUUGCAUAGGGCAGGCACCUGCCUUUGGCUGAGUGGUGUGAAAGAUGUUGGCAGACUCCAGCUUUAGGUGGAGGAAGGCUUCUGUAGACAUGGCCCGGGUCCUCCCGCAGCCCUUGCAACCUGGAAGCAGGAGGUCGAGGGAUGGAGUGAGAGUAAGGGUGGCAGAAUUUCACCCUUACCUGGAGUCAGGAAGACCGAUGAGAGAAAAUGUGUGGACAAGGGUCAGGCCUAGCCCUGGGAAGCCCAGAAGCCAUCGGGAGAACUCUGGCACAGGUAGAGACUGGGAGAGGUAAGCUGUGUGGGGAGUCGGGGGCAUGGGAGGACCUGCACAGGGCAGAGGCCAUGCUGGGCACCCAUCUGCUCCUGCCCCUCCCCACUCAGCCUGGAUCUGUCCUUAGAUGCUUGCAACUUUGAUCUGAGUGGAGACAGAUGCUGCCCAUCCGGGACACAGACCCACCCCCAUUGUCCGUUAUCGCCAGCCC
rnacentral:lncRNA from 13 species